rnacentral:misc_RNA from 1 species
AGAAAACAAUACAACGGCAAUUAUCAGCAAUAUUUUCUUUCCUUCCUUGAAAGUUCAUGCCACUAAUGUGAAAAACCUACUUUUGAACCUGAAAGCAACUUGAUAAUGAUGCAAAAACCAGUGUCCCUCUUGAUUCUCUGAAGUAAUUGGCAUUCUGAAAGGGAAAUCCAUUCUUUAUAGACAAAUAAAUCUGCGGUAUGUGAUAAGUUUCUAAGCAGUGGAAGUGAGGAUUUCAAAUAAAGAACAAAUGCAAUAU